rnacentral:rRNA from 1 species
UGGUGGAGUGAUUUGUCUGGUUAAUUCCGAUAACGAACGAGACUCUAGCCUGCUAAAUAGUACGCACGUAUUUCAUCGCGUGCCGUACUUCUUAGAGGGAUAGGCUACUUUA